AUUGAACGCUGGCGGCAGGCCUAACACAUGCGAGUCGAGCGGAUGAAGGGAGCUUGCUCCUGGAUUCAGCGGCGGACGGGUGAGUAAUGCCUAGGAAUCUGCCUGGUAGUGGGGGAUAACGUCCGGAAACGGGCGCUAAUACCGCAUACGUCCUGAGGGAGAAAGUGGGGGAUCUUCGGACCUCACGCUAUCAGAUGAGCCUAGGUCGGAUUAGCUAGUUGGUGGGGUAAAGGCCUACCAAGGCGACGAUCCGUAACUGGUCUGAGAGGAUGGUCAGUCACAAUGGAACUGAGACACGGUCCAGACUCCUACGGGAGGCAGCAGUGGGGAAUAUUGGACGAUGGGCGAAAGCCUGAUCCAGCCAUGCCGCGUGUGUGAAGAAGGUCUUCGGAUUGUAAAGCACUUUAAGUUGGGAGGAAGGGCAGUAAGUUAAUACCUUGCUGUUUUGACGUUACCAACAGAAUAAGCACCGGCUAACUUCGUG
rnacentral:rRNA from 1 species